rnacentral:rRNA from 1 species
UACGGAGGGGGCUAGCGUUGUUCGGAAUUACUGGGCGUAAAGCGCACGUAGGCGGCUUUGUAAGUUAGAGGUGAAAGCCCAGGGCUCAACCCUGGAAUUGCCUUUAAGACUGCAUCGCUUGAAUCCGGGAGAGGUGAGUGGAAUUCCGAGUGUAGAGGUGAAAUUCGUAGAUAUUCGCAAGAACACCAGUGGCGAAGGCGGCUUACUGGUCCGGUUCUGACGCUGAGGCGCGAAAGCGUGGGGAGCAAACAGG